rnacentral:rRNA from 1 species
UACGUGGGGUGCAAGCGUUGUUCGGAAUUACUGGGCGUAAAGCGUGAGGAGGCGGCUCGCUAAGUCUAAUGUGAAAGCCCUGAGCUUAACUCAGGAACUGCAUCGGAAACUAGCGGGCUAGAGUUCGGGAGAGGGUCGUGGAAUUCUUGGUGUAGAGGUGAAAUUCGUAGAUAUCAAGAGGAACACCGGUGGCGAAGGCGGCGACCUGGACCGACACUGACGCUGAGGUGCGAAAGCGUGGGGAGCGAACAGG